rnacentral:rRNA from 1 species
UACGUAGGGGGCUAGCGUUGUCCGGAAUCAUUGGGCGUAAAGAGCGUGUAGGCGGCUCGGUAAGUCCGCUGUGAAAGUCCAGGGCUCAACCCUGGAAUGCCAGUGGAAACUGUCGAGCUAGAGUCCGGAAGAGGCGAGUGGAAUUCCUGGUGUAGCGGUGAAAUGCGCAGAUAUCAGGAGGAACACCAGUGGCGAAGGCGACUCACUGGACACGUAUUGACGCUGAGGUGCGAAAGCGUGGGGAGCAAACAGG